UUUAUUAUUUUCGUGAUCUGAAACAAUGAGUAUACUUUGGUUCUCAGCAGCUAUUUUCUUUAUAUUGGUUGGUGGAAACUGGUGGACACGUCCACCAACCAACUGGGGUGGCUAAAAAUUGAUUUAUAACAUAGUUCAUGAAGUGGAAAAUCAAUAAAUUGACUUACUAAAUCGA